GGGGAGGAGGAGGAGGAGGGGGACGACUUGGGGAGAGGAGGAGGAGUGGGAAAGGGGGAGGAGAAGGAGAGAGAUGUCUACUCUGUCGUGUCACCAUGGGGAUGGCGAUGUAGUACACAUAGACUGGUGAGGUAGUACACAUGGAAUCAGCAUGACUAAUGGAAUCAGGAUGUUGACUUUGUAACAAAGUGAAAGAGACGCUAUAGCAACGCUGUAACGACGCUAUAGCAACGCUGUAACGACGCUAUAGCAGCGCUGUAACAACGCUAUAGCAACGCUGUAACGACGCUAUAGCAACGCUGUAAUGACGCUAUAGCAACGCUGUAACGACGCUAUAGCAACGCUGUAAUAAUGCUGAAGCAGAGCUAUAGCAAUGUCCACGCUACAUACUGAGAACACAAAUACAUCUGCUGAGAAAACACCUUCAUGUGCUGACUGACUGUCUGUCUGUUUGACUGUCUGACUGACUGUCUGUCUGUUUGACUGUCUGACUGACUGUCUGUCUGUCUGGAUGUCUGUCUGUUUGACUGUCUGUCUGGAUGUCUGUCUGGAUGUCUGUCUGACUGCUGGGAUGUCAGAGAGAGACAGGUUGGAUCAGGCAGGGUGCUGGGAUGUCAGAGAGACAGGUUGGACCAGGCAGGGGGCUGGGAAGUCAGAGAGAGACAGGUUGAACCAGGCAGGGUGCUGGGAUGUCAGAGAGACAGGUUGAACCAGGCAGGGUGCUGGGAAGUCAGAGAGACAGGUUGAACCAGGCAGGGUGCUGGGAAGUCAGAGAGAGACAGGUUGAACCAGGCAGGGUGCUGGGAUGUCAGAGAGACAGGUUGGACCAGCCGUGACAUGAUCGUAGCCUAGCCUCAUCUCCUAUGAGAUCUCCAGUCAUAAAGGAAGCAGCCUUCCCAGAGCACCACUACCUACCUACAGCCCUACCAGAGCAGUACUACCUA
rnacentral:lncRNA from 1 species